rnacentral:rRNA from 1 species
UACGUAGGGGGCGAGCGUUGUCCGGAAUUACUGGGCGUAAAGGGCGUGUAGGCGGCCUUUUAAGUUCGGUGUGAAAGGCGCAGGCUCAACCUGUGGACUGCACCGGAAACUGGGAGGCUUGAGGGUAGUAGAGGAGAGCGGAAUUCCCGGUGUAGCGGUAAAAUGCGUAGAUAUCGGGAGGAACACCAGUGGCGAAGGCGGCUCUCUGGGCUACACCUGACGCUGAGGCGCGAAAGCUAGGGGAGCGAACGGG